UGGCUCCACAGAAAUCACAUUUAGUUUCUCUUCUCUUUUUUGUGCUUCUUCUGCUUUUAUUUCUCUCCUUUCAAGUUGGAUUUACAGAAGCCAGACGCCGUUACCCACGCCCUCCACCUCCCCAUUGUUAUUAUGUACCUCCUUCGACAUCUUGCAGAGGAGGAGGAGGCAAGUGAACAAAAUGCAUUUCUAUUAUGAAGAAACAAUUUAAUAUAUAUAUAUAUUUGCUCAAGUUUUAUGAUUGUAUGUUUAAUUAAAUAAAUGGUGUCUUUUACAUCAGUUUGAAUUGGCUGUGAUAUAUAUAUAACUAGUCUCAAGCUUGGUUCAAAUUUUCUUGUAGUGUAUAUGCUUAGAAUGUGUUACAGAUAACACGACUUAAUAUAUAGUCGCAAAAGACCUUGAUAGUUAUGAUUAAUGGUGAUUCAAAUAGA